rnacentral:rRNA from 1 species
AGUAAAAGUCGUAACAAGGUUUCCGUAGGUGAACCUGCGGAAGGAUCAUUAACGAGUUUGAAUUGGACUUGAUGCUGGCCCUUCGAAGGGUAUCGUGCUCAGUCCUACUCAAUUCCACUCAACACCUGUGCACACUCAAAGUUGUGGUCCUCCAUUUACUGGAGCUGUAAUCUAACUUUAGGUUACGGGGACUGCACUUUGCCCUUUUAUCACAAACACUCUAUUACGUUUUGUAGAAUGUGAUUAGCCCUCUGGGCGGAAAUGUUAAUAUAACUUUCAACAACGGAUCUCUUGGCUCUCGCAUCGAUGAAGAACGCAGCGAAAUGCGAUAAGUAAUGUGAAUUGCAGAUUUCAGUGAAUCAUCGAAUCUUUGAACGCACCUUGCGCUCCUUGGUAUUCCGAGGAGCAUGCCUGUUUGAGUGUCAUUAAAUCAUCAAUUCAUCCUUAUUUUGUAAGGCGGAAUUGGACUUGGAGACUUGCUGGACCUGUUCUAAUGGGUUCUGGCUUCUCUUGAAUGCAUUAGCUGGACUUUGAACGCGCAUAUAUGCAGUGUGAUAACUAUCUUCACUGUGUGCGAGUUUGACUAGACUUCGGCUUCUAAUGGUUUAUCUCUAUAGACAAUCUCUUUGACCAUCUGGCCUCAAAUCAGGUAGGAUUACCCGCUGAACUUAAGCAUAUCAAUAAGCGGAGGA